UACGGGUGGGGCAAGCGUUGUUCGGAAUUACUGGGCGUAAAGGGCUCGUAGGCGGCCAACUAAGUCAGACGUGAAAUCCCUCGGCUUAACCGGGGAACUGCGUCUGAUACUGGAUGGCUAGAGGUUGGGAGAGGGAUGCGGAAUUCCAGGUGUAGCGGUGAAAUGCGUAGAUAUCUGGAGGAACACCGGUGGCGAAGGCGGCAUCCUGGACCAAUUCUGACGCUGAGGAGCGAAAGCCAGGGGAGCAAACGGG
rnacentral:rRNA from 1 species